CCAGACUCCUACGGGAGGCAGCAGUGGGGAAUAUUGCACAAUGGGGGAAACCCUGAUGCAGCGACGCCGCGUGAGUGAAGAAGUAUUUCGGUAUGUAAAGCUCUAUCAGCAGGGAAGAUAAUGACGGUACCUGACUAAGAAGCCCCGGCUGACUACGUGCCAGCAGCCGCGGUAAUACGUAGGGGGCAAGCGUUAUCCGGAUUUACUGGGUGUAAAGGGUGCGUAGGUGGCAGGGCAAGUCAGAUGUGAAAGCCCGGGGCUCAACCCCGGUACUGCAUUUGAAACUGUCCAGCUGGAGUGCAGGAGAGGUAAGCGGAAUUCCUAGUGUAGCGGUGAAAUGCGUAGAUAUUAGGAGGAACACCAGUGGCGAAGGCGGCUUACUGGACUGUAACUGACACUGAGGCACGAAAGCGUGGGGAGCAAACAGGAUUAGAUACCCCGGUA
rnacentral:rRNA from 1 species